GCUCCCUUCGUCUAGUGGUUAGGACGUCGCCCUCUCACGGCGGUAACAUGGGUUCGAGUCCCAUAGGGAGCG
rnacentral:tRNA from 2 species